AGAGUUUGAUCCUGGCUCAGGAUGAACGCUGGCGGCGUGCCUAACACAUGCAAGUCGAGCGGCAACGAGUUCUCACUGAGAUUCUGAAGUUUUCGGAGUUUCUGUGAGAAUGUCGGCGAGCGGCGGACGGCUGAGUAACGCGUGGGAACAUACCCCAAAGUGAGGGAUAACCUUCCGAAAGGAAGGCUAAUACCGCAUAUGGUCUUCGGAUUAAAGGAUUUAUCCGCUUUGGGAAUGGCCUGCGUCGGAUUAGGUAGUUGGUGAGGUAAAGGCUCACCAAGCCGAUGAUCCGUAACUGGUUUGAGAGGAUGACCAGUCAGACUGGAACUGAGACACGGUCCAGACUCCUACGGGAGGCAGCAGUGAGGAAUCUUUCACAAUGGGGGAAACCCUGAUGGAGCAACGCCGCGUGCAGGACGAAGGCCUUCGGGUCGUAAACUGCUUUUAUUUAUGAUGAAUUUGACAGUAAUAAAUGAAUAAGGAUCGGCUAACUACGUGCCAGCAGCCGCGGUCAUACGUAGGAUCCAAGCGUUAUUCGGAGUGACUGGGCGUAAAGAGUUGCGUAGGUGGUUUGUUAAGUGAUUAGUGAAAUUCGGUGGCUCAACCAUUCGAACUAUUAAUCAAACUGGCAGACUCGGGAGUAGUAGAGGUAACUGGAAUUUCUAGUGUAGGAGUGAAAUCCGUAGAUAUUAGAAGGAACACCAAUGGCGUAGGCAGGUUACUGGACUAUUUCUGACACUGAGGCACGAAAGCGUGGGGAGCGAACGGGAUUAGAUACCCCGGUAGU
rnacentral:rRNA from 1 species